AGAACCAGGCUUUGAAGAACAUGCCGAUGGCAAGCAGGACCACGGUGAGGUGCGGGAAAACCGCCGGGUUCACCGGGCUCGUGUACCGGGUCAUGGCCUCCAACUCCUGCGCAGAAAAGCAGGCAAUAAAAGACUCAAAAUGAGACAGAAAUCAGAGAUAAAACCAUAGCAAACCUGACCAGAAGCAGCAGCAGCAGCACAGAUGUACCUCCUUGACGUUCUCCUUGGCUCUGAUGUCUGAGGGAUGCACGAGUGAGCCCAUGACCUUCACGUUGCCGUGAACGACGAGCGCCUCAUCGGGGCGAUCCGUGUUGAUGCCCACCCGCCCGUGAUGGUACACAGAGUCUGGCAGCUGCCCUCGCUGCCACAGCACCUCACUGUCGCUCUCAAACUGACCUGGGUUCGACGCCUGGAUGCAGAAGAACAAACAAACAAAAAGCCAAGUAAGACAAUGAUUUAGUUCAACUACAGUAACUGUAACUGACUGGGAAUGCCAGAUC
rnacentral:lncRNA from 1 species